CGCACCUGAGGAGCCUGGCGGACCAGUUAUGUUACGAUGAACAAUCCCCCCAACUAUUGAUCGGGCAGGACAACUGGGGACUC